UUGCUUUUUAGCAGUAUAUAAACUAAAAUUGCAACAAUACAGAGAAUAUUGGCCUGUCCUCUGUGCAAGGAUGACACACAUAUUUGUGAAGCAUUCUGGUUUUAG